UACGUAGGGUGCGAGCGUUAAUCGGAAUUACUGGGCGUAAAGCGUGCGCAGGCGGCUUGCCAAGUCAGAUGUGAAAGCCCCGGGCUCAACCCGGGAACGGCGUUUGAAACUGGCAGGCUAGAGUUUGGCAGAGGGGGGUGGAAUUCCACGUGUAGCAGUGAAAUGCGUAGAGAUGUGGAGGAACACCGAUGGCGAGGGCAGCCCCCUGGGCCAAAACUGACGCUCAGGCACGAAAGCGUGGGGAGCAAACAGG
rnacentral:rRNA from 1 species